AUUGAACGCUGGCGGCAUGCUUUACACAUGCAAGUCGAACGGCAGCGGGUCCUUCGGGAUGCCGGCGAGUGGCGAACGGGUGAGUAAUAUAUCGGAACGUGUCCUGAAGUGGGGGAUAACGCAUCGAAAGAUGCGCUAAUACCGCAUAAUCUCUGAGGAGAAAAGUGGGGGAUCGAAAGACCUCAUGCUUUUGGAGCGGCCGAUGUCUGAUUAGCUAGUUGGUAGGGUAAUGGCCUACCAAGGCGACGAUCAGUAGUUGGUCUGAGAGGAUGGCCAGCCACACUGGGACUGAGACACGGCCCAGACUCCUACGGGAGGCAGCAGUGGGGAAUUUUGGACAAUGGGCGCAAGCCUGAUCCAGCAAUGCCGCGUGAGUGAAGAAGGCCUCGG
rnacentral:rRNA from 1 species